GUGUUUGAAAUAAAAGUGCAUUUAUACAUGGAAGAGGAAAGCGAUUCACUUAUUCCGUUUUCCAAGAAAUAAAACCAGACGACCAGACCAGACUGGGUCUUGAAAACAAUUUACACUUCUCUUGUAAUUUACACUCCAGACUUCAGUAUAAUGAGAGAAAUCGACUUUUACUGUUAAUUUG